rnacentral:rRNA from 1 species
GACGAACGCUGGCGGCGGGCUUAACACAUGCAAGUCGAACGGAAGGGCCCUGCUUUUGUGGGGUGCUCGAGUGGCAAACGGGUGAGUAACACGUGAGUAACCUGCCCUUGACUUUGGGAUAACUUCAGAAAACUGGGGCUAAUACCGGAUAGGAGCUCCUGCUGCAUGGUGGGGGUUGGAAAGCUUCGGCGGAUGGGGAUGGACUCGCGGCUUAUCAGCUUGUUGGUUGGGGAGUGGCUUACCAAAGGUUUGGCGGGUAGCCGGCCUGAGAGGGUGGCCGGCGACAUUGGGACUGCGAUACGGCCCAGAGUCCUACAGGAGGCAGCAGUGGGGAAUAUUGCCCAAUGGGCGGAAGCCUGAUGCAGAAACGUCGCGUGUGUGAUGACGGCCUUCGGGUUGUAAACCGCUUUCGCCUGUGACGAAGCGUGAGUGACGGUAAUGGGUAAAGAAGCACCGGCUAACUACGUG